GGAGGGGGCGGUGGAGGCAUCGUCCAAGUAGGAGCUGUCCUCGUCAAACAUCAUCUCAUCUCCCAGUGCGUCCAGUUCUGUGGACCAAGAAACCACACAAUCAUUAUCCAGUUCUGUGGACCUAGACACCACACACACACAAACAUCAGGUUCUGUGGACCUAGACACCACACACACACAAACAUCAGGUUCUGUGGACCAAACACAGCAGCAGAAGCAAUACUUUAAUACCCCAUACGACAAAUACAGGAAUCCGUCUGGGUUGAGUUGUAGACAUUAAAACAGGAACAAAUGACUGUUAGAAUCAACCGAACCAGACGCACACACUCACACACACACCAGAGGCCCUGAAUACAUGGAGGAGGGUAGCUUCAGGCUGGUUUAAUCAGCUGACCAGCUAAGGAAUGAAUGUAGUUCACAGCUCAAUCACAUGACCAUGGUCGUGAAUUAUCAGCCAAUCGGACCAUGCUGUGGCCUGUGAAUUCACUGCAAUGCCCUCAGGCGGGCGUUGUAAGGAACCCCUUAGGAGAACAAACCACUACACCAAGUCCUUCAUUCCCUCUGCCAUCAUUGUAUUACACCCUGACAGUGUUUAUUUUAAAUGACUAAACGUGGUUAUUUAUACUACUUAAUCAGACUUUUUUUUUUAUUGUUGCUCAUUGUACUGACCUAUGAACAUGAUAUGUUGCCACCAACAUAUCGCUAUCUUGUCUUUUCUGUGAGUUUGUAUGUCUUAAGUUGUUGGUAUGGACUUGGUAAACUGCAAAUAAGUUGCCCUUUUUGAGAUCAAUAAAGUUGUCUGAAUCUGAA